rnacentral:rRNA from 1 species
UGGGGAAUCUUGGACAAUGGGCGAAAGCCUGAUCCAGCCAUUCCGCGUGAAUGAUGAAGGCCUUAGGGUUGUAAAAUUCUUUCAGCAGGGAAGAUAAUGACUGUACCUGCAGAAGAAGCCCCGGCUAACUCCGUGCCAGCAGCCGCGGUAAUACGGAGGGGGCUAGCGUUGUUCGGAAUUACUGGGCGUAAAGCGCGCGUAGGCGGACCAAUCAGUCAGAGGUGAAAGCCCGGGGCUCAACCUCGGAAUUGCCUUUGAUACUGUUGGUCUGGAGUCCGGGAGAGGUGUGUGGAAUUCCGAGUGUAGAGGUGAAAUUCGUAGAUAUUCGGAGGAACACCAGAGGCGAAGGCGACACACUGGACCGGUACUGACGCUGAGGUGCGAAAGCGUGGGGAGCAAACAGGAUUAGAUACCCCCGUAGUCC